rnacentral:rRNA from 1 species
AGUGAACGCUGGCGGUAGGCCUAACACAUGCAAGUCGAACGGCAGCACAGUAAGAGCUUGCUCUUACGGGUGGCGAGUGGCGGACGGGUGAGGAAUACAUCGGAAUCUACUUUUUCGUGGGGGAUAACGUAGGGAAACUUACGCUAAUACCGCAUACGACCUACGGGUGAAAGCAGGGGAUCUUCGGACCUUGCGCGAUUGAAUGAGCCGAUGUCGGAUUAGCUAGUUGGCGGGGUAAAGGCCCACCAAGGCGACGAUCCGUAGCUGGUCUGAGAGGAUGAUCAGCCACACUGGAGCUGAGACGCGGUCCAGACUCCUACGGGAGGCAGCAGUGGGGAAUAUUGGACAAUGGGCGCAAGCCUGAUCCAGCCAUACCGCGUGGGUGAAGAAGGCCUUCGGGUUGUAAAGCCCUUUUGUUGGGAAAGAAAAGCAGCAGGUUAAUACCCCGCUGUUCUGACGGUACCCAAAGAAUAAGCACCGGCUAACUUCGU